ensembl:lncRNA
GUUUGACCCCAGGUAUUUACUCAUCCACUUUCAAUAUCCUUGCUCCAUGCAUCAUCAACUUUCUACUUUGCUCCCCUCUGUCACUUGACUUUUAUUAUUUUUAAUAUUUCACAAUAGCAAUCGCAUAUCUUUACUUUUAUUUGUACUUCUGCAAGUGAGAUGAGCUGAUGGUUUGUGUUUUUGUAGCCUUGCACUGUUGAGAGUUCAUAAACACUUGGCUUCUUUUUUUUUUAAAAUUUCUUUUUAGAAAUGCUUGCGUGAGAACCAACAGUAAAGGGCUGGACGUAAAAUUCUAGACUCCACCCUCAGCAUUAAAGUCAUGACAUUAUCAGCUGGAGAAUAGUCACGAAUCCUAGAAAGGUGUUCCCUCGAUGGAAAACCUUGGAUCCAAAAUGAAGUUAUUGGACCACAAUUCUUCCAACUAACCUGCCUUGAAGUCAUGUUAAUGAUUCAAAGCUCUUCAAACUUUGAAGAUCAUUAUUUAAAUCACGUCAGAAAGUGAGGACUGCUGUUGAACCUUAUUUUCCAAGGUGCCUUCAGAGCAGAUGGAUUGAUUUAGCACAGGUUUUAUGCUGGACCACAACCCAAACUCAGCUGAAACAGUUCAAAUUUAACUGUGGGAUUCUCUCUUCUGCAUAUGUCUUUAGGUGUAAGUCAUUGCUACACCUUACAGUACGAAUGGCAUCCCGGUGUGUUAUGUAGCAUUGUAUAGUCUCAACAUUAAAGCUUUUUAAGGGUCUGUACAGAUACAACUGGAAUCAAGUGUAGGUAACUUCUAGUUUGCUAAAGCCCCCAUGUUAACAAUUUGUAUUGUAGUUAUGACUUCUGUCACAUAUGUAAAGAGCAACAGAGACAGAGUGUGCCGGUGAAAAUCUGGGACAUCUCUUCCCCGAAAAGCACCAGCUGUGCUUGUAGUCGACUGGUUUUGUCUUCACUUUACACUUUUGCUCAUGUUAACAGAUUCCACAAACAUUUAAACAAUCCUGGGGGGCGGGGGUGGGUUAUUUCCAUUAACAGCCGGCUGCUGUUGGUUUUCUCAAAAACAAGGGACUUUGUUGGGGAUGACUUUCAGUGGUCGAAUAAUCCGCAUUUUUUGCCAGAGAAAAACCUGUUUUUGUUUAUACUUCAUUUGGAAUUAAUUUCCAAUAAGAAAAAUGUUUCCUUCCAUAUUUUUACCUUUUUGUUUCACUGAUGUGAUUAUUUUUCUUAAGUUUUUCCAGUGAAAAAUAUCCAUUAACUUAUACACACACACACGAUACCGGUGUUUGCUUACCACAGGAGUGCACAAAGCAAGUUUGGCAUAGCCAGUGUGAUAGGUGGCUCAAAAUAAGCUAAAACCGUUUAGUUCUAAAAUGUAAAAAGUUGAACUAAUAGACGCUUUCAGCUGCUCCUCUAUUUCCACAGAAGUCCCAAAACAGAUGGAUCCACAUCACUUGGCACAGAAUUUAUGAUGCAACCUCCCAUUUGUCUGAGCUUAAAGUCCACAAACCUGGCCUAAUGUUUCGUUCACUAUGACCUGAAAUUAGCAAAUCAGCCCAUGAACUCACCAGGAAACAAUUUAAAGAGGUCCAGGCAGACAGAUAUUUACACAGGAGCUUAAAUCUUUUUUGCAACCAUAACUAUCGCCCCCUGGUGGCCAGCGAGAAAAAAAUAUAGGUUUAGGGCACUUUGUAUUGGCUUCACCUUUCAGACCUGGAGUUUGAAAAGAGACUAAAGAGGACAUUUGAAACACCAGCUGAGUCUCCAUCAGCACAUAAAGAAACUAUUGAUUGUCCCCACUUCAGUCAGAGACGUCACAGAGAAGCAUGCAGUGAAAGGAAACACUGCAAAUACCUGAACUCUGUUACUCACAUCAAUUCAGGUGUUAAUCUAUUUGUUUUGUGAAAUUACAUACAAUUCCUUAUGAUCUUGGGGGAUAAAAAUCCUACAAGUAAUAUUUUUUUCUCAUUUGUGCUCUGUUAGCUGAAAUUCCAGCAAUAAACACAUUUAGCAGCUAAUCAGCAGUAAUGAAAAGAUGAAAGUGUUGCACUCGACAUUAAUGUGGCCUUGUGGCACACCCGUCUGCUGCCACCAUCUUUACAUCAUCAAACACUUCAAAACUAAUGCUGGGCACAAAAUUUCAACUGUGGAAAUCUAACGUGCAGAUUUUGUAUCUGGAAAAGUAUCGACUGAACUGAAGAAAUCAUCGACGGUGGGACUGAGUAUGUGUGCUGUACAUCACAAUGUUUUGUUCAAUUUUGUUAACACCAGUGAGGUUUUUCUUGUGGUAGUGUUUUUUUAAAAACUUUUUUUAACUCUUUCUCUCAUUAAGUUGAAAUUUGUAAUUUUUUUAAACCUGAGUAAGCUAUGAGAGCAGUUGUAUGAGCUGUAGUUUAUGUUUUCUGUUAUUCAACUGAAUGAAACAGCAUAAAGAGUUUUUGAAUAAAGUGAGACAUGUUUUCAACAGUAGAUGAGUCAAUGUGGGCUUUUAACUGGACUGCUAGGAUGAGUCAGGAUGUUGGGUUAAAUUUGAUUUGGAAAAUAACUAAAGCUGUC